UUUGUUUUGGUUUUGGAAAAUGCAUCAUUUAGUUAGUUUCCCUUUGCAGCUAUAUGGCUUUAUUCUAGGUAAAUAUAAUAUUGACAGUUUGAAAACACUUAGUUUUCAAUUUCAAAGUAUUUGGGAGCAAAAAAUCAAAUAAACCAAUUUCCCAAUUUGAGGUUUUCACGACUCUCUUUUUCCCAAUUUUGAGGUUUUCACUACUCGAUUUUCCCAAUUGGACCGGUACGGGUACUUUUCCCAAUUGGACAAAGAAAAUCGCUGAACUCAGGGGUCCUGGGUUCGAUCCUCACGUGGGAUGCUGAUUUUUUUCAUGGGAGUUUCCUCUGGCAAGACUGCAGAGCCCUAGCCUAGUACUGGUGAAACCCAGGAAGCAUAAUAAAGUGAAUCUUUGCCUUAAUGUAAGUUAAAUACACGGGCAAAAACACCAUACAAACAAACACAUCAAGAUGUUAGUACAUGUAGGAUAAUGGGGGGGGGGGGGGGUGAAGAUUUCACAUAAAGAUGAUCAAAGCAGAUAAGAUCAUAUUUCUGUGAAAAAUGUAUAGAAACUUAGAUCAGCAAGUGUAAUAUUUUCUCUCGAAUCUAUGAUUAUACUACAUAAUGGUGACUUGUUUUUAUAGAUAAAAAAUAAUGUACAUGAAUACAUUUGCAGAUAUGAGCCAACAGCAAAGAGCAGCUGCUCUUUUAAGGCAGGCAGCAGAUUUGUUGAAUGUCAACACAAGUGACAGGAGUACACAAUACCAGCACCUGCACCAGUAACCUCUGUCAGUAGAACUAGUGCUGCAAAGGCAAUUUUUGCACCCGACAGUAAAAGAAGGAGGCAUGGACAUGCAAUUACAGGCACUGUGGCAAUGUCAGCACUGGACUAUUACAUCCAGGUGUAAUCAGGUUCCUGGUUACAACUAAUGACCACCUGUUGAAGGAGCUAAACGUUACCAGGGAGAGACACCAAGGUUACCAGGGAGAGACACCAGCACAAAGGUGAAUCAGAUAAACUGGAGCUACAAGCAUCUUAAGAAAAACCUUCAGGGACCAGUCUAAAUGUUCUGAUAUUUAUGAUAAUAGAGUGUGUUAUGUGUUUUAUUGCUAAGAAUUGGAUACUCUGUAUCCAAUAUCUAAAAUGGUAUUUUAUUAAGAUUACAAAAAAUAAGGCCAAUCUUAAUAAGAAAUAUUUUGCUAGUUGGAACAUAUUGAACUGUUUAUUCAAUCAUGCAGCAAUUUGUUGUUUGCCAUUUGAGCAUUUGGCAUGCUUAAGCUCAACAUAUUAUUGGAGAAAUUGAUUUAUUUCACAUGAUUUUACUUAUCUUGCAAUGAUUUUACAAGCAUCUUUUUCACACAUCUUGUAGAUUGGUAAGCAGAUAUGUUCUUGCUAGAUUUCAAUGGUGUAGUUUUUUAGUAAAAAUGACUUGCCUUUCUAUUUUGUUGUGCUGGCAUUUAGACAUUAGUUAUAAUUUGUUUGCAGUGAACAGCCUAGGUUAAGUAGACCUGGUACAUGUAUUCAAUCAAAUUGAGCCGCGUUCUGGGGAAAUUGACUUUAUGCAUGUGUGUGAAGUGUCGUCCCAGAUUAGCUUAUGUGGUUCACAAAUGCUUAUCUGGGACAACACUUUCGGCCUAGACUGGAUUUUCUUUUUCAAAAUACUUUCUUUGAACUAAAAAUCUCAUAAAACCAGAAAGUGUCUUCCCUGAUUAGCCUGUGCGGACCAUACAAGUUAAUCUGCGACAACACUUUAGGAACAUGCAUUAAACCCCAUUUUCCCAGAGCAAGGGUCAAUUGUAUUUAUAUCAUUUCAAUACUUACAUGCCCUUUAUUUUAGGAUCUUACAGAUUCUAAAUGCCUAUUUAUUGUAAGCUGAAUAUUCAGUUAUAACCAAAAAGUGUCAUAAGAUCUUUGUUAAGACAGGACCCUGAAUUCUAGCAUUUAAUGAGAUUAUGUGCUUUUCCACACUUAUUCUUUGUCUUUUAUAAGGAAAAGGUGAACACUAGCAACAAUAUAAUUUGAUACCAAAAAUGUUUUCCAUAUAUAUUACUUCUUUUACAUGAAAGAAGUUAACAUGUGUAAAAAAAGUUUGGCAAACAAAAUUAUGGGUAUUAAUUUCUUGGUGAUUUUAUGCAUUUAUUUUACACAAAUUAUAAAACCAUAAUGAAGUAUAUGUAAUAAACAAAUAUAAAUCAGUUUAUUUAUUGUUCAUCCAGGCAUUUACAUAUAACCAGACAGUAGUGCAAUCACACAUGUAUAUGUAGGUUUUUAACUUACAUUGCACCAGUGUAUAGAUUGUUUUGAAAACACUUGUAUGAUCAUGUUCAAGUUGCAUAUGUCUAGUCAUAAGCAGUAUUCGUGGGAUACACUAGCAACAGGACUAGAGUGAUCAUUUUGUUUUCAGAUGAUGUUUAUGUAAUAUGUGUUUCAUCCUAAUAUUUAUUUAACCAGUAUGCCAUGUAAUACAUAUAUUUCCUAAUAAAAUUGUAAAAAAGAUUA